rnacentral:rRNA from 1 species
GAGACUGCCGGUGAUAAACCGGAGGAAGGUGGGGGAUGACGUCAAAUCAUCAUGCCCCUUAUGGCCUGGGCUACAAACGUAAUACAAUGGCGUAUACAAAGGGAUGCGAAAGGGCGACCUGGAGCAAAACUCACAAAGUACGUCUCAGUUCAGAUUGGAGUCUGCAACUCGACUCCAUGAAGGCGGAAUCGCUAGUAAUCGCGGAUCAGCAUGCCGCGGUGAAUACGUUCUCGGGGUUU